rnacentral:rRNA from 1 species
UUGACAUCCAGCGAACUUUCCAGAGAUGGAUUGGUGCCUUCGGGAACGCUGAGCAGGUGCUGCAUGGCUGUCGUCAGCUCGUGUUGUGAAAUGUUGGGUUAAGUCCCGNAACGAGCGCAACCCUUAUCCUUUGUUGCCAGCGAUUCGGUCGGGAAACUCAAAGGAGACUGCCGGUGAUAAACCGGAGGAAGGUGGGGAUGACGUCAAGUCAUCAUGGCCCUUACGAGUAGGGCUACACACGUGCUACAAUGGCGCAUACAAAGAGAAGCGACCUCGCGAGAGCAAGCGGACCUCAUAAAGUGCGUCGUAGUCCGGAUCGGAGUCUGCAACUCGACUCCGUGAAGUCGGAAUCGCUAGUAAUCGUGGAUCAGAAUGCCACGGUGAAUACGUUCCCGGGCCUUGUACACACCGCCCGUCACACCAUGGGAGUGGGUUGCAAAAGAAGUAGGUAGCUUAACCUUCGGGAGGGCGCUUACCACUUUGUGAUUCAUGACUGGGGUGAAGUCGUAACAAGGUAAGCGUAGCGAG